rnacentral:rRNA from 1 species
GACGAACGCUGGCGGCGUGCUUAACACAUGCAAGUCGAACGGUGAAGCUCCAGCUUGCUGGAGUGGAUCAGUGGCGAACGGGUGAGUAACACGUGAGCAACCUGCCCCUGACUCUGGAAUAAGCGCUGGAAACGGCGUCUAAUACUGGAUACGAGAAGGGCCCGCAUGGGCACUUUCUGGAAAGUUUUUCGGUUGGGGAUGGGCUCGCGGCCUAUCAGCUUGCUGGUGAGGUACUGGCUCACCAAGGCGACGACGGGUAGCCGGCCUGAGAGGGCGACCGGCCACACUGGGACUGAGACACGGCCCAGACUCCUACGGGAGGCAGCAGUGGGGAAUAUUGCACAAUGGGCGAAAGCCUGAUGCAGCGACGCCGCGUGAGGGAUGACGGCCUUCGGGUUGUAAACCUCUUUCAGCAGGGAAGAAGCGAAAGUGACGGUACCUGCAGAAGAAGCACCGGCUAACUACGUG